UACGUAGGUCCCGAGCGUUGUCCGGAUUUAUUGGGCGUAAAGCGAGCGCAGGCGGUUUGAUAAGUCUGAAGUUAAAGGCUGUGGCUCAACCAUAGUUCGCUUUGGAAACUGUCAAACUUGAGUGCAGAAGGGGAGAGUGGAAUUCCAUGUGUAGCGGUGAAAUGCGUAGAUAUCGGGAGGAAGGCCGGUGGCGAAGGCGGCCUCCUGGGCCUGCACUGACGCUGAGGCGCGAAAGCGUGGGGAGCAAACAGG
rnacentral:rRNA from 1 species